UACAGAGACUGCAAGCGUUAUUCGGAUUCACUGGGCGUAAAGGGUGCGCAGGCGGCCAGGUGUGUCAGGUGUGAAAGCCCGGAGCUUAACUCCGGAAUUGCGCCUGAAACUACUUGGCUAGAGCAUUGGAGAGGGUAGCGGAAUUCACGGUGUAGCAGUGAAAUGCGUAGAUAUCGUGAGGAACACCAGAGGCGAAAGGCGGCUACCUGGACAAUUGCUGACGCUCAGGCACGAAAGCGUGGGGAGCAAAAGGG
rnacentral:rRNA from 1 species